GACGGCAAGGCGGGGAGAGGGGCAGCCCGCUCGCGGCCCUCCCGCCUGGCUCUCGCCUCGGCCUGCGGCCGGGAUCCUCCGCCCGGGUCGCGCAGCGGAGGCCGAGGGCUGGGACGGGCGGCUGGGAAGUGGGAAAGGGAGCUCCUUUUGUCUUCUCUUCCCAUCCCCCAGGUCUUCCGGAAGUUGCCAAACCCCGGUAGCGGCAGCGUCCGGCUGGGGGCUUUAUUAGGGGGCACCGGGGUCUGCUUUCCGACUCCCUUCCGACUCCGCGCCUGCGCAGGAAGCGAUUUGGGGAGUGUUGUGAAUUCCGAGGGCUCCACACUUAAGAGGUUGUACACUCACCUGUCUACCUGGACUCCAAUUUCCAUAUUUCCAGCCACUUGAGGACUGAGAGGUGGAUGAUAAACCCUGUCAUAGUGGAGCAAGUUCAGGUGUUUAACCGCUGUUAUGGGGGAUCUGCCUUUUCUCCCUCUUCUUUCUUACUUCCAUAAGUAUGUAUGUGCAGAGAUUGAAAAAUAACCUUGAGAGAGUCCAUCCAUCUAACUCCAGUUCAUUGGAAAUUUCUGCUUCUUUGAGACUGAGGUUAUAUUCCACUUCUUCUGACUACACCACCACCAUCAAUCUCCUUCUCUGAACUCUUGGAUCAUUACUUCAACCUGAAACAACUCAUCAGGCAGAAUAGUUGCCUACUGCCCCAACCCCACCAAAUGUUCCAGCACCUCUGAUAUUACCUCACAUGGCAAGAGGGCUUUGAAGAUGUGAUUGAGUCAAGGAUCUUGAAUGGGGAGAUUAUCCUGAAUUAUUCAGCUGGACCCAGUGUAAUCACAAAGGUUUUUCAAAGAUGGAAGAGAGGCAGAAGAGCCAGAAAAGGAUAUGUGACAAUGGAGUCAGUGUCAGAGUUGGAGUGACGUGAUGUGAGAAGGAUUCAACCUGCUGUUUCUGGCUUUGAGGAUGAAAGAAGGGGCCAUGAGCCAAGCAAUACAGGUGGCUUCUUUCAAGAAGUUGGAAAAGUGGUAAUAUUUUAUGUUAUUUUGGUUUGAUUUUUGUUUGUGGCAUAUGGCUCUGCUGUCCUGUGACUCUAAGUAGAAGAGAAAAUAGUGCCAAUAAUUCUUCAUGGAGAUGCACCUCUCUCAAGUCUUGAACAAUGUUUGAGGAAAAGUGCUUUCAGCUGGGCUGAUGAGAACACCUUGGCACUCUUUCCUGCAAUGGGCACUGAUUGAGGGUCUUCCUGGUGUGGCAUCAUCAAAUCCCUGUUGCUCAAACCCACUAAUUAGCUCAUUCUUAUCUACAAGUAGCAGGGGCCCUAAAGCUCUCUGAGAAGAUCUCAUACUGUGUCUCCUACAUUUCAUCUUCUAUAAUCUCUUAUUCUUAGAGACAGAAAGAUGGUUAAAAGACAUCACUUCAUUUCUUUCUCUGGAUUUGGAAAGAGUUAUAUAUUGGGAUUAUGCUGUUAGUUUACACUUGCAUUGUUUAAAUUAGAGGAAAGGUUAUUUUGUGCAGAACAAAUAAAAAUUACUCUUUAACUACCUUUCAGAAUAUCCCAACUUUUAACAUAAGCUGUUUUGUAAAGGCUGGUUGUAGUGACUUGCUUCAUAAUAGACUAUUAAAAUAAGAUGCAUUGAAAUCUUGUUCUUUUCUUUGCAAUACCAUGUAUCAGCUUUGUUUUGAGAGGCAAACUCAAUUUUCCCCUGAAAUUAGGAAAUUACUGUAAGGGACUGGAAUGACACACAAGAAAAGAUUACAUCAUAGCAGGGAGACUAGCCAGUUAGAAUGGGGAUUUCUUUACAAACACUAGACUGGACUAUGGAUUAUAAUUUACCUAGUGUUAAUAGUUGCAGUCAUACAUUAAGGACAAUAUGUAUGUUCUUUAGUUUUUUGUCACUGAGCAGAGGUAGAAACAGGGAAACAACAAAGGCCGAAUAAUUUCCAGCCAUUGCUGCUUUGUUUGCACGGAGCCCUUUGAAAUGUGAACUAAGAAUAUUUCUCAGAAGGUUUUUAGGUGAUUCAUAUACACAGUAAAGUUUCAGAAGUGCUAUAUUCGAGGGCAUAUGGAAACCCAUGGCUUUUCUGCUAGAGGAUUGUCAAAAGUCCAGAAUUUCAUAACUAAAUACCAUGAAUUUAGUAUAGUAGAGCACAGAACUAAAGGCUGUCUUGUGGCUGCAAAGAGUUGACUUCACAUAGCAUAAACUAUAGUCUAAGACAGUGACUUAGACAUAAGAGAGAAUAGAACUUGGUAACUGGGAUUGUUUUACAGCGUGAUCAUGUAUAUUUCUAUAUUAUUCUAAAAAUAUUUAUUAUAUUUAUAUAAAAAUUGUUACAACCGUGUACAAGUGUGCAUAAAUAAAUAGUGUAUUUAUGUAGUCUUUAUUUGAAUGUCAGGCCAGUUAGAGAAGCUAGACAUGUAUAACCAGUUUAGUCUUAACAAUCAAGUUCAGAAAAUAAUAUGUAGACUUCCACCUAGUUCCUUUUCUGAAUAAUAUUAUAGACUUAAGGAAGCUAAUAAGAGUCCAAGAUUCUCUGAGUGCCUUUGUGAAUUAUUUCAUCUGAUUCAUGUAUGUACCUUCAUAUAAUGGCUUUUAAUAUUGAGGAAUAUUUGGAGAUUAAAAGAUUAGAGUAAUUCUGAGCUCAUUAAAUUGUAGAUUGUCAUUUCUUAUGAGGAUUUACUUUUCUGGUACAACAUGUUCUUAUCACUAGUUAUAAUGUAUUUUUUUACUUUUGGCUUAGAUUUUGAGCCCUCUAUUCAUGACAUAUCAAAUGUAGUUCUUUAGAUAUGCUGCUUUCUAAUUAGGAAGCAGAAUGUGAUUGCCUACUAUUCUCUAGCCACGUACCUACUAGUGAAUAUAUAAAGGAUGGAAUUCAGGCCGUGGUUUAUGAAAUUCAGGCUGUGUUUUUGAGUACUUCCAAGUAUGUUUCAAGUAACUUGGUUAUGGUUUUGAAUGACUAGGAAAAUGCUUUGCUUUUUUUGAAAGGGAAAUUGUUCAAAAAUGAGAUUCAAUGGAAAACACAGAGGGUGCUAAAAAUGCAGAGACAUUGUAUAAACCUAUAAGAAAUUUUACAUGGAACCAGAAUUUUGAUGCCCCUUAAAAGGAAACCAAUGAGAUUCCUUAUUCAUUAGUACUUUGAAAGUUGGCAGUGGAAUGAGGAUCUGUGGAGGAAGGGACAGCUGGAUCUUGCACUCAGGACUUCUGCCCUCUGCUCCUCAAAGAACUCAUUAGUCACUGUUCCCACUCCCACCCUGGCACCAAGGAAAAUGUGGAUGUUUCCACCUUUCCCACCCAGGCCUAUUUAGGGCAUACAACCCUUCCUGAAUUUCCUGCAGUACAGUUGAGAUCACACUGUAGCCUCUAACAAGCAUUUACCAGAGAUUCAGCGAUGACAACAGAGAACUACAAUAUAAUGAGUAACAGAUAACCACUCCAUAGAUGUUGCAUGCAUUUCCGAGUGUAUACAGCCCAUUCUCACCUUACAGGAGAACCAGGAAAAGAGAACAAUUUGGGAAGGUCUCUUCAUUUAAUUUUUCCCACACUGCUGCCUCUUCUAUCUUUGGCUUGUUUCUUCUUCUCACUUAGGAGGAAGUGGUUCUCAGAUAAUUGACUAAUCACUUCUUCAUGGUCGUGAACUCAAGGACUUACCUGUUAUGAGGGGAGAAGCAUAAUAAAGAUUACAUCAUGUGAACUUUUGAAAUAAAAUGCCCGAAGACAUAAGAGAGACCCUUACCACUGUCACACUCAAAAGGAAAGCUUAGUAGCUACAGAGAUUUAAAAAGCAAGCAAACAAGCAACCAAGCAAACAACAAAGACCUGAAGAAAAUUCCAGAAUAAUCCUCAACCUGUGCUUUCACAUGCUAAAUUUUCAUAAUGAGAAAGAUAAACUGUGUAUCUUGUGGUGUCAGUGGUCAGUGUGGUGAUAGUAGUUGUGGUUUGGGCUGCUUUUUUCCUUGUUUAUUUUUUCCAAAUUUUAUUUGGGAAAAUUUCUGCUGUUUCCAUUGUGAACUAAAGUUACAUAUACUGGAUGAUAUAACUUUAACUCCUAAGAGUAUGUUUGGCUAUGUUUUUGGAAUUAGGUAUUAUGCAUGCCACCUUGUGGCCAUUAUUAAGAAAACACCUAACAUGAAGACGAGAAACAGGAUCAUUAGUGAGAGCAGCUUGAGCUUGGAGCAGUACUUUCCCAAGUCUGUUUCUCCAACAGCAUCCUUAGAACCCUUAGAACCUGGAUAUCACAUUUUAGUGGGAGGAGACAGACAAUAAAUAAAACAAAGUAUAGUAAGUGCUCUGGAGAAAAGUAAUGCAAAGAAGAGGGCCAGAAAGUAUCAAAAAGUUUGAAAUUACAAAUAAGGUACUCUUGGAAGACCUCACUAAGGUCACAUUUGAGCAGAGAUCUGAACAGCAUGAGAGACAACUGGGGGUGGGGGGGGGCAGAAUAAUGUUUCAGAUAUGUACAUUGCAACUGCAAAGGCCUGAGACAGGAAUUUGCCUGGCCUGUUCCAGCUUAGCAAAGAAAGAGGCCUGUGUUAAUGAUACUCAGAGAGGAAGGAGGCAAUAGUAGAACAUGAAGCCAGAAAAGUGACCAGAUGCAGGAGUGACUAAGGCUUUGUAGACUGCUGUAUAGACUCUGAGGGAAAUGAGCAGUCAUUGAUGGGUUUUUCGCACAGAAGGAUCUUGGUGUGUUUUAAAAGGAACAUUCUGUAUUCUAUGUUGAAAACAGACUGAAAAGCACAAGAGAAAGAACAGGAAGAGCAAUUAGGAGGCUGUGGUAGAUUAUUAUUCAGCAAAUAUUCACCCUACUGUCCUCCCCAUAAGAUUUCCCCAGGCCACCAUCACUGGAUUUGGCUAUUUGACUUGCUGUAGUCAAUGGAAUGUGAGUGAAAAGUGACUCUGUACCAGUGGGGAGGCAAAGCCUUAAAAGACCCAGCAAAUUUCUUCCAGCCCUUUUGUGCUUCUGCCAAAAGAAUACUGUGAGCAAUCAGUGCCCUUAAGCCUGGGCCUCAGAACGAGAGAUAUGGAGCAAACCUGAACCUGAACAGCAGCCUACAAUCAAGCCAGGAUGACCCUGCAAAGCCCAGCCAACGAUAGCAAAGCCACAGCAGACUUGUAGACCAAUGAGCAUGAAAUAAAUUGCAUUGAAAGCU
rnacentral:lncRNA from 1 species